CAAGAGGAUUGGCACCAAACUGCAGAGCACAUCCCAGGUAUCAGAAGAAGUUCCAAAACAAUCAGAGACUUGCAAUACUUGAUAAGUUGAAGGUCUUUCAAACACAUGCUGACUUAACAUUCAGACCUGGGAAUGACAGCUAAUAUUACAAGGUGGAAAAAGGCUGAAAGUCUUUCUCCCGUUGUCUCAAACCAAGUGAGGAGUUUUCAAAGAACAACCCCAGAAGCUUGUCCUGUGCCUCGAGCAUUUGGAUGACACAGGUUUCCAAGCUUACGUCAGUCAGAUGUUAUCUGGUGGAAAAGAAGUUCUUAAAUUGCACAAAAAUGUCAAACUUCGAAAAUAGAUAGGACUACAACUAAAGCAAGAAGAACUAUGGGAUCUGCCAGCAAAACUUGGCUAUACAGAAAAUACUGAGCUGUUUUAGUCUGUCAUGCCUAAAGAGCA